rnacentral:rRNA from 1 species
UACGUAGGGGGCUAGCGUUGUCCGGAAUCAUUGGGCGUAAAGCGCGUGUAGGCGGCCCGAUAAGUCCGCUGUGAAAGUCCAGGGCUCAACCCUGGGAUGCCGGUGGAUACUGUCGGGCUCGAGUCCGGAAGAGGCGAGUGGAAUUCCUGGUGUAGCGGUGAAAUGCGCAGAUAUCAGGAAGAACACCCGUGGCGAAGGCGGCUCUCUGGGAAGGUACUGACGCUGAGACGCGAAAGCGUGGGGAGCGAACAGG